rnacentral:rRNA from 1 species
CCGCUCAAUGAAUUAUUUUAAAUAGCCGCAAUAUUUUAAUUGUGCAAAGGUAGCGUAAUCAUUUGGUUUUUUAUUGAAAUCUUGUAUGAAUGAAUGAAUGAAAUAAUAUCUGUCUACUAAUUAAUUAAUAAUUUAAUUUUUUUUUUUGUUAAAAAACAAAAUUGUAAUUAAAAGACGAGAAGACCCUAUAGAAUUUUAUAAAUUAUUUAUUUUAUUUAAAAGUUAAAAUUAUUAAAAUAUUUAUUUUAUUUAAUUGGGGGUAUUUAAAAAUUUAAUAAAUUUUUUAAUUUUAUUUUCAUAUAUUUAUGAAUAUUAAAAUACUUUAUUUAUAAAAUAAAAUAAAUUACCUUAGGGAUAACAGCGUAAUAUUUUUUAAAUAGAUCAUAUUGAUAAAAAAGAUUGCGACCUCGAUGUUGAAUUAAGAUUUAUUUUUUUUGAAGAUAGAAUAUAAUUAAGUCUGUUCGACU